rnacentral:rRNA from 1 species
AUUGAACGCUGGCGGAAUGCUUUACACAUGCAAGUCGAACGGCAGCACGGGGGCAGCCCUGGUGGCGAGUGGCGAACGGGUGAGUAAUACAUCGGAACGUGCCCGGUCGUGGGGGAUAACGUAGCGAAAGUUACGCUAAUACCGCAUACGAUCUGAGGAUGAAAGCGGGGGACCUUCGGGCCUCGCGCGAUCGGAGCGGCCGAUGUCAGAUUAGGUAGUUGGUGGGGUAAAGGCCUACCAAGCCGACGAUCUGUAGCUGGUCUGAGAGGACGACCAGCCACACUGGGACUGAGACACGGCCCAGACUCCUACGGGAGGCAGCAGUGGGGAAUUUUGGACAAUGGGCGCAAGCCUGAUCCAGCCAUUCCGCGUGCAGGACGAAGGCCUUCGGGUCGUAAACUGCUUUUGUACGGAACGAAAAGGCUCUGGCUAAUACCUGGGGCUCAUGACGGUACCGUAAGAAUAAGCACCGGCUAACUACGUG